rnacentral:rRNA from 1 species
AUACGGAGGGUGCAAGCGUUAAUCGGAAUUACUGGGCGUAAAGGGCGCGUAGGCGGUCUAUCAAGUCAGUUGUGAAAUCCCACGGCUCAACCGUGGAGGUGCAUCUGAAACUGAUAGACUUGAGUAUGGGAGAGGAAAGUGGAAUUCCCGGUGUAGAGGUGAAAUUCGUAGAUAUCUGGAGGAACACCAGUGGCGAAGGCGACUUUCUGGACCAAUACUGACGCUGAGGCGCGAAAGCGUGGGGAGCAAACAGGAUUAGAAACCCUUGUAGUCC